UAUAUGUAUAUUUUUAAAUGAAAUUAAAAAGAGAGGAUUUAAUUUAAGAAUACGCUGCGGUAAACAGUAACGUUUUUAGCCUUGAUUUAAAGGAGCUGACAGUUUGAGCAGACCUCAGAUCUACAGGAAGUAUGUUCCACAGAUGAGGAGCAUAAUAACUGAAUGCUGCUUCUCCUUGCUUGGUUCUUGUGUUUGGGACACACAACAAGCCAGUUCCAGAUGACCUGAGAGGUCUGGAUGCUUCAUAAGGAACUAAGUAAUCAUAA